rnacentral:rRNA from 1 species
AAUAGAUACCCGGGUAGUCACGCCCUAAACGAUGUCAACUAGCUGUUGGGGCCUUCGGGCCUUGGUAGCGCAGCUAACGCGUGAAGUUGACCGCCUGGGGAGUACGGUCGCAAGAUUAAAACUCAAAGGAAUUGACGGGGACCCGCACAAGCGGUGGAUGAUGUGGAUUAAUUCGAUGCAACGCGAAAAACCUUACCUACCCUUGACAUGUCUGGAAUGCCGAAGAGAUUUGGCAGUGCUCGCAAGAGAACCGGAACACAGGUGCCGCAUGGCUGUCGUCAGCUCGUGUCGUGAGAUGUUGGGUUAAGUCCCGCAACGAGCGCAACCCUUGUCAUUAGUUGCUACGAAAGGGCACUCUAAUGAGACUGCCGGUGACAAACCGGAGGAAGGUGGGGAUGACGUCAAGUCCUCAUGGCCCUUAUGGGUAGGGCUUCACACGUCAUACAAUGGUCGGGACAGAGGGUCGCCAACCCGGCGAGGGGGUAGCCGAAUCCCAGAAACCCCGAUCGUAGUCCGGAUCGCAGUCUGCAA